rnacentral:misc_RNA from 1 species
GAUGAAGAACGUAGCGAAAUGCGAUAAGUAGUGUGAAUUGCAGAAUUCAGUGAAUCAUCGAAUCUUUGAACGCACAUUGCGCCCCAUGGUAUUCCGUGGGGCAUGCCUGUUCGAGCGUCAUUUACCCCCUCAAGCUCCGCUUGGUGUUGGGCGUCUGUCCCGCUUCGCGCGCGGACUCGCCCCAAAGGUAUUGGCAGUGGUCGUGCCAGCUUCUCGCGCAGCACAUUGCGCUUCUCGAGGCACCGGUGGGCCCGCGUCCAUCAAGCUCACCCCCCCAGUUUGACCUCGGAUCAGGUAGGGAUACCCGCUGAACUUAAGCAUAUCAAUAAGCGGAGGA